CCGAUACUGAGCACGGAUCUUCAACAGUGGUGCCCUUUCAGAAGGUGGUGGACACCCAGGAGGUAGAACCUGGAUGAAUUCACAAGUAGGUCUCUUGAAAGAGGACUUUAAAGAAAACUCCAUCGACUUCUCUACAGAUCAAGAAGAAUAGCUGAGACACUGAUCGGUAAGGACAACGGUGUACUAUGAAAGGGAUAGACAGCAUUCUCACAUGGCAACAGUGGUCUGGAGCGUGGUGGCUGAGACAAGCAUCUUUUAAGCAUCUGCCUCAUCAUACUCAUGGACAUAUGUUUCAUAGAACUUGAGGGUUUGACUAUGAACGCCGUGUUGGGAAUUGUCAGAGCUCAGAGAUACCCACAGGUUGAGGACAGGACCUUGUUAGGAAGCUUGAAGAGCCAUCCAAAACACUAUGGAAGGAAGAGGGCAUUUACCCUUAGAUCAAGCUGAAUCCCCACAUCAUAGAGGUCCUUGAUGGAGGUGAGAGAUGGCCAAGUGGGAAGAAAGUGGAACCAAAAAGAAUGCCUUCACUACACAGCAUCAAUGGCCUUGGAAUUGACAGCUUCAGUUGCCAAGCAUGGAUGAGAUGCUGACUUCGAGGAGCAAGCUUCUUGUAUAGACAGAUGGAAGACAAGCCAGCAGACCAUCAGUAUCCCCGUUCUCCACCACCUGGACUGUCAGGAUAUGAGCUUUUCUGCUCUGCCACACAUUGCCCGCCAUGAGGACCGAACCUACUGAAGCCAUGAAUGAGGAGGAGCAACAGCAUGGCAUAAAGCCAGCCAUGAUCCCAGGAGUCAGACAGCCUCGGCUCAAACAUGACUUCUCGUUUCCGCGGAUUCAUCUAGCCUAGGUAGGUUAACUCUUCUGAACCAAUGUUUGCCUAGUGCCUGGAAUAAAAACUGCUCAGUAAAUAUGAGCUACUCACAAUCCACACUCUUUCCACUGUCUCACAGUAGUCUGAAUAUUAGUCAUAGUGAUAUUGAAAUCCAGUUCAAACAUAAAAUGUUUAGUUCCUUGGUGAGAUGGAGUGCAUGGGAAGACUUUGUAAAUUGUAAAGGACAGCUAUUAAAAUUAUUCUAGAUAUACUGAAAGUAUAGAGGAUGCAGUGUGCCGAUCAUGUGCAUCUUUAGAUGACUCUAGUACCCUCAGUUUUGGUACAGUCAGGGGAGCUCAAAAUCCCCUGUAGAUUCUGAGGGAUAGCCGCACUUCAGUCAGUUGUUUUCAAAUGACAGUCCCUCAAACAUCAGGGCCAGCAUUUGAGAAUACCUUAGAGAAACACGUUCCUCAGGUGACUGGCUCAGAAAUUUAGGCAGGCAGUUGACCUUAGGCAAUUAUUAUAAACAAAGAAUCCGCCCCCAACACCACCCCUGCAGACAAGCGAGUUCUAGCCAGAGGCCCCAGGAGAGCACACAAAUAAAGAUCCGGCCCCAAAGAGUCAACUUCCAGUAAGUGACCAAGGCCAAAUCACUUGUUUGUACAGCCCAUGGCCCAGACCCCACAUUCUCAGAAAUUCUUAGCCCCUGGCUUUGAUCCAUUGCAAUGUCUGACUAUUGCUUUCCUCAGCCUACCUGAAUACCUUUAACAUGAGAAAGGAACGGCACCUUGGAGUGUCCUACACUGACAAACAACAGACAAACAUAAAACAAGCCUUGGUUGUGGCCUCACUAUACCUCAUCUCCAAGCGGCAGCACUUCUGAGGCUGACCCCAGUCUCCCCAGAUGAGAGAAGCAGCUGGUACAUCUUUCACUCAGGAGUUGCAGGAAGUCAUCUUACCCACACUGUAGUUUCCCGCCCAGUGAAGGCGCUACUGCCGUUCCUGCUUCAUUUUCUUGGUCUUCCCCGAGCUUAGAAGGACUUGCACUCACCUGGCCUCCUUCACAGCAAAUUUCAGGCUGAAAUGUCUCUCAGUGAAAUAACCUGCAGCAGCGAGGAGCUAACUUCUUCUGACUCUAACGAUUUGGGCAUGUCAUUGACUGAAAUCUCUUUUUAUGCAAGAGUUUUAAUAUCUGAAAGGCACAUAACCACUGGUUGAGAUUUCUGAUGUGUUAGAAAAUUGGAGCAAAAUAGAAACUUUUUAAUGUUAAAUAACAUGUUUACAUAAAUCCUGAUGCCUUAUAGUUUUAUCAAAAAUAUAAAGCUAAAAAUAAAAUGAAACUAUUUCAAUAUGGUAAUUAUAAAACAAUGAUAAAGAAGAAACAGUUUCUUUUUUCUUGGCUCUUAUGAAAUACUUCAUAUUAACAUUGCAUUUAGUAUUUUGGUUUUUUGUUCUUUGGUGUUGUUUUAAAGUGCCUGCUCAGGCCAGGUAUGGUGGCCUUCUCCUAUAAUCCCAGCAUUUUGGAGGAUCCUUGACCACAUUUUGAGUAACAAUGUAAAGAAAGUUGCUUUUCCUAGUUGUUGUAAUUUUAAUGUGAUGGCCAAAUUAAUGAAUUAAUGUUUGGAGGUGAGACCUUUGAUAGGCAUAUCUGGCAGAGAAGAAAAAAAUAUAUAUCUAGAGAGAACUGUACUUCUUAAAUUAGUUGUAUUCAAAGUGAUAGUCCCCCAAACAGUAGGGCCAGCAUUUGAGAACACUUAGAAAAAUAAGUUCCUCAGGUGACUGGCUCUGAAAGGCAUAACACACACACACACACACACACACACACACACACACACACACACAAUUUAUAUAUGUGUGUCUGUCAAAAGAGGGAAAGCGGACUUGUUAGACUGGCUUACACUAGAGGUCUGGGUGGUCUAACAAUUGUGUACAUGCUGAGGGGCUGAGAAUCCAGCAGGCAAUCAGCCCUGGGAACUAACUGAAUGCCUUUGCACUCCUAACACAACUAACUGAAUCCUAACUGGCGCUGAAGUCCUUGAAAACUGCUGGAGGAUCCUUGGUCUCCUUCAGUCCGUUCUGGAAAGUCAAAGGAGCUGGAAUCUGAUGUUAUCAGAGAAUGGCAUGACAGCAACAGAAAGGUGCUCUGGCUCCGGAAGAAGUUGAGGCAGGCGUGCAGGCAGUGCUGGUUUUCCUUGGACCCCAGAAGCCACAAAUUGAAAGAAUGAAAUUGCUUUGUGGCAGAAACAACAUUCACCAGGAAGGAACCCGAGUGCUCAUCCAUUCAAAGAACAAACUUGCCAAGUCCGAGAGCCAGUUACCCACCUCCCGCGGCUUCCAGAACAGACGAGGAGGAGAGGCGGGCACUAACAAAUUCAGGCUUUUGAAGGCUGGCAGAGUUCCGCCUUGCUGCAGCCAUUUAGACAGACAGCGAACGACGCCCAACUUCCUCAUCCAUGUGAAGCAGAUGAUCAAUAUCAUGAAUUCAUGAGGCUUGGAACAGGCAAGGAGCAGCCGUUAACUCCAUGAAACCGUUAACUCCAUGAAAGCAGUAGCUUCUCUCCUGCAUGAUGAUGUAUGUGGCUGAAGAGCAGCCACCUUGCAGGUCUUGUUUGUGCCUUGAGAGCACUUGCUGGGACAGAGUGGACCCUUACCUGAGAUUUGUUGAUGAAUGAAUAAAGCAGGAGUGCAGACACUCAUAGGAGCAGCUUGGUCAACAGUCUCUUUUGGAUCCUUGUAACUUGCUUCAAUGGAUCUUUCUCACAGCUUUCCUUGGGAAGAGAGAGGUCCAGCAGCAGCAAGUUCAAGCUCAAAGGGAAAAAAAAAGGACUUGGCCAUGCUCUGGGCAUCUGUGAUAGAAGACCAGAGGCUCGGGAAUCAUUGUGGAAGAGCAGAUGGAAAGAGUAUAAGAACCAGAGAUGGUGGGUGACUGCAAGGAAAUAAUAGUGCCUUCUAGGCACAGCAGGACAGCUACACAUACGAAGUCACAGUGGUUGUGACAGCAUACAUACUCCCUGUGAGCCUCAAGCCAGACUAAAUCCCAGUAUGGACAGGGGAGAUGUAAGUGAAGUCCCACCUUUCACUGAGGAGGUAUAAGCAAUUGGCACCUGCUGGGAAAGGGAGCAUCUGUUUCUUUGAAGUGACGCCAUUGACAGGUGAAUCAUGUUCUAGUAGAAGAGCGCACAGUCAUGAACAUAUGGGCAGCACAAAUUGGUCUUGAUGGGUGAAAAAAAAAAGACUACACAAUAGUUGGUAUUCGAAAGGUUUUACUCUUGUCUUGAAGUGUUUUGUGUUUUCCCCCCAGUAUUUUUGUAGUUUGAGGUUUUACAUUUUUGAUCCAUACUGAGUUGAUUUUUUCAAUACAUACAUAUGUAGAGAUAUCCAAUUUUCCAUAUAUCACCUGUUGGCAAGUCUAUUAUUUCUCCAGUGCCAUUUUUUGGGUUCUUUGUUAAAGACCAAUUGGCUCUAGAUGUGCGAAUUUAUUUCUGAAGUUUCAAUUCUGUUCUAUUGGUCUUUGUGCCUGGUUUUAUGCUACAGUCAUAUUGUGCUGUUUUGGUCACUAUAGCUUUGCAGUAUGUUUUGAGGUAAGAUAUUGUAAUAUUCUAGCUUUGUUCUUUUGCUUGAGUUUGCUUUAGCUCCUUUGUCUUGUAGUAGGUAGCUGUUCCAGCUUUGACCUGGAAGUAAUAACCCCAUUGAGGCUUCUGGUAACUGUC